rnacentral:rRNA from 1 species
UAGGGAAUCUUCGGCAAUGGGACGAAAGUCUGACCGAGCAACGCCGCGUGAGUGAAGAAGGUUUUCGGAUCGUAAAACUCUGUUGUUAGAGAAGAACGACGAGGAGAGUGGAAAGCUACCUUGUGUGACGGUAUCUAACCAGAAAGGGACGGCUAACUACGUGCCAG